UACGGAGGGCGCGAGCGUUAAUCGGAAUUACUGGGCGUAAAGCGCGCGUAGGCUGUUGUGUAAGUUGGGGGUGAAAUCCCACGACUCAACCGUGGAACAGCCCUUGAUACUGCGCGACUUGAAUCCGGGAGAGGGUGGCGGAAUUCCAGGUGUAGGAGUGAAAUCCGUAGAUAUCUGGAGGAACAUCAGUGGCGAAGGCGGCCACCUGGACCGGUAUUGACGCUGAGGCGCGAAAGCGUGGGGAGCAAACAGG
rnacentral:rRNA from 1 species